UACGAAGGGUGCAAACGUUGCUCGGAAUUAUUGGGCGUAAAGCGCACGUAGGCGGUUCGGUAAGUCAGGUGUGAAAUCUCCACGCUCAACGUGGAGGCGCCACCUGAAACUGCCGUGACUCGAGUCCGGUAGGGGAGUGUGGAAUUCCCGGUGUAGCGGUGAAAUGCGCAGAUAUCGGGAGGAACACCAGUGGCGAAGGCGGCUCACUGGCCCGGUACUGACGCUGAGGUGCGAAAGCGUGGGGAGCAAACAGG
rnacentral:rRNA from 1 species